UCUUAUAACUGUCAUCUCACUCUACCCCUUUACUCAGGUUGCUAACCCUUCUGCCGUAUCAUUAUACUUGCUUGUAGGACUAAUGGGAACGCUAUAGGGCUAAGGCAAGUCUCCAAGGUCCAAUGGCCUCUGAGCAGAAACAGGCCACCUUCUGAUCUGUAGAUGGAAUGAAUGGAUUAAAUGAGAGCCAAGCCAGCUGUUGCAAGCUUUAUCAGUACACAGACCUAACAGAUGGGAGCCCAUUCUGAAAGCCUCCUGCUACAGCAAAAUUUAGAAAGAAUUAGAAUAGGCUGCCAACCAGCCGAAAAUUUCCAUGUGAAGGCUGCUAUACACACACAUCUAAAUCACUGUGGGGAAAAAAAAAGUAACAGAAUUGGAAGAAUUCAUCAAAAUAAUCUAUAUCCCUGAAGAAUAAACAUGCACCACACCAUUGUAGUCUGACCAAAUGGCUGUAAAGACCCCUUUAAGGCGAAGUGAGAGAAUUUGUUUUCUACAUCUAAUAAAACACUGACACCCGGUGCUGGAUGAAAAUAACUCACAUCUAACUAUACUAACUGAAAACAAAAGAAAAUAACUAUCAUCUGAGAUGUUAUGGUCACUGUGCACAUGUACACAAAGGAUCUGUCUCUCCUGUGUGUCAUUACCGGAAUCGUACAUCAAUGGGAAAUAAAAAGAUUCAUGAUCCCUGCUGCCACCCAGAGCUUUAAUACCUCUGGUGAAGAAAGGAGAAAGAAACAACUGAAUAUCAAGCUGCUGAUCACUAAUGUCUACCACAUGCGGAAGAAAAUAAGCAUGUAAGUGUAUAUUCAAUGAAAAAAUAACUGUUAUGAAAUAUUCAUUUGAAAAGUAA